rnacentral:rRNA from 1 species
ACGAGGGGGGCGAGCGUUGUUCGGAAUUAUUGGGCGUAAAGGGUGCGUAGGCGGUUUGGUAAGUCUGAUGUGAAAUCUAUGGGCUCAACUCAUAGUCUGCAUCGGAAACUGAAGGGCUUGAGUGCCGGAGAGGGUCGCGGAAUUCCCGGUGUAGAGGUGAAAUUCGUAGAUAUCGGGAGGAACACCAGUGGCGAAGGCGGCGACCUGGACGGACACUGACGCUGAGACGCGAAAGCGUGGGGAGCAAACAGGA